ensembl:lncRNA
CAGGGGUCAGGUGUACAGUAACUACAGGUAACAGGAGUCAGGUGUACAGUAACUACAGGUAACAGGAGUCAGGUGUACAGUAACUACAGGUAACAGGGGUCAGGUGUACAGUAACUACAGGUAACAGGAGUCAGGUAUACAGUAACUACAGGGGUCAGGUGUACAGUAACUACAGGUAACAGGGGUCAGGUGUACAGUAACUACAGGGGUCAGGUGUACAGUAACUACAGGUAACAGGGGUCAGGUGUACAGUAACUACAGGUAACAGGAGUCAGGUGUACAGUAACUACAGGUAACAGGAGUCAGGUGUACAGUAACUACAGGUAACAGGAGUCAGGUGUACAGUAACUACAGGUAACAGGGUUCAGGUGUGCAGUAACUACAGGGGUCAGGUGUACAGUAACUACAGGUAACAGGGGUCAGGUGUACAGUAACUACAGGGGUCAGGUGUACAGUAACUACAGGUAACAGGAGUCAGGUGUACAGUAACUACAGGUAACAGGGGUCAGGUGUACAGUAACUACAGGUAACAGGGGUCAGGUGUACAGUAACUACAGGUAACAGGAGUCAGGUAUACAGUAACUACAGGUAACAGGGGUCAGGUGUACAGUAACUACAGUACAGUACAUGUUUGUCUGAGUGCCAGUGGAACAGAAGCUUCUCUUCUCCUUCUGUCUGUAAUUCUCCGGUCUUUCUUUGACACCCAGCAUAACAUUGUCGUGGGGUAUGUUAUUUUCGCUACAAGGGGUGCCGAAUCAGUUGGAAGGGCAUUUUAUUUCCAUAGCACGUAUUUAAUGUGUGCUAUAUCAGAGACAAUGGGCGGCAGGUGAGUUUCAACUUUGGGGAAGCUUACAAUUUAUCCUACAAUUUCUACCGAUCUACGUGGCAGUUAGGAUUUUUUUUUUUUUAUAUGAGCAUUUUCGUGGAACAUUUUCAUUUCAAUAAUGAAGUUUUCAAUAAUCGUCACAGGGUUAAUUAAUAAAAAUCUUUAGUGGGUCAGGUAAACAGCGGGCCAGGUAACAGCGGGCCAGGUAAACAGCGGGCCAGGUAAACAGCGGGCCAGGUAACAGCAGGCCAAGUAACAGCAGGCCAGGUUAACAGCGGGCCAGGUAACAGCGGGCCAGGUAAACAUCGGGCCAGGUAACAGCGGGCCAGGUAAACAGCGGGCCAGGUAAACAGCAGGGGGCCAGGUAAACAGCAGGGGGCCAGGUAACAGCAGGGGGCCAGGUAACAGCAGGCCAGGUAACAGCAGGCCAGGUAAACAGCAGGCCAGGUAAACAGCAGGCCAGGUUAACAGGACAGAGAAAGCAGACACGUUGCUCUCAUGGCCACUCCCAACAAAACACAAUUAAAAUUUUUUUUUUUACAAAACUCCAAAAUGAUGGUUAUGAAAUAAACCAAAACCUGUUUCUAACAAGUGUAACAGGUUAUGAACACACUGAGCAUGAGAACGAUACAUUACUAGUAUUAAUAAACGCAUUAACAUACAUGUAUGUAACCAAAUGUCUGCGAUUAACGGGUACAUUUACUAGACCUACUGAUAACCUGUGUAAUGGGGAACUCACGCAAUGAAACCACGAAAGCGCAAGAAUUGACGGGCGAUAGCUGAGCGCAUUUUGGAGACACGCGCCAUAUCUUCACCACACAGCCCUCCCCAUCUUCUUGUCUCAACAUUUAAAAAGAUACUCAAGCCACAUUAUCUAAACGCAUAUUUGCGACGCCUUUCACCUCGCCGCAGCUAGGCCUACGUGCGUGUGGUUUGAAACACUCCAGCGCUUCUUUUUUUUUGAGACGAAGAAGAAGGUAAUUUAUUCAAUUCCGGUGGCUGAAACCAGAGAUCUCUAUAUAAUGACGAGAUGCUCAAGUCUCGGCCCUAACAAUUGUAGUCGUUGUCCCAAAGGCGAGAAGGAAGGCAACAAGUUUAAUAAGUCUGCGUAUCAAUCCCAUAGAAACAGAUUGGGUUUAUUCUUGACAGAUUUUGGAAAGAGGGAGCCCCUCUCGCUUGCUUCUUUCUUCCUCUGUGCUGAAACUCUCUCUGAAGAAGGCAUCUGAUUGAGCAAAACAGCACCUAUCUGUAUGUUACUGUAUGUAGUUCAUGUAUCUGAUCCUGUCUGGACAAAAACAGCAAAUCAAAUAAAUAUAUAUAUAUAUCCAGUACACAUACUGAGACUCU